GCCACAGGUCCGGAUGAACCUGUUCCUCUCAAGGAACAAGUCCAUCUCUACAAUAUUUCAUGGAAGCAGUCAUAACAUUCAUGGUUUCUCCAAGAUAAUAAGACUGGAAUAAUCAUUAAAAACCCUGAUUCUUCCGCAUCGAUCCAACGAGUGAGUUUGCGUGAGUGUAUGUGUGUGUGUGUGUAUGUGUGCAUGCUCAGAGUUGCAGCAUGAUCUGGAGCUCUGGAUGCACAAAAGAAAGGGGAGGUGGAAUAUUCAGCAAGAAGUAUAAGACACGGUGCCUAGUAUCACAAAUUGCCUUUGAAGCGUGGCUCCUAAGGCGGAGCCACGCAUUUGCAGUUUGCAUGGAAGUUAGCAGUGAAUGAUACCAUCGCUUGCACAGGUGUUUGACAAGGAAGGAAAAUUGCUAGUGUAGGGUAGUUCAGGGUCAGACAUGUAUGCACGUCUUGAACUUGGACUUUCUCAACAGUUAAUGCAAGCGAAGAAGCACUGUAAACGAGCCGAAGUACUAUGACAAGAGCCUGCUUCACUAAUUCGGAGUGCCUGUCCGACUCCUCUGAACGAUCUUCUCUUAUUCUAAUUCCUGCGUUUGUCAACAACACAUCAUCUUGGCCACCAGAAGCACAGGAAGUUCUACUGAACUUGAGAUUCAUGCAUCUAGUGUUAGUCCUAAGGAGGCCAUCAAUACCAUGUUGCUUUGUUACGGCUUGACAGGUAUUCAGUGACAAUGUCACUGGUUCCAAGGUAACUGUUGAAUACUCUAGUUGGUUUCAUCAACGCUUGGUUGGAAUGCUUCGCAGUAUCUUUUGUGUAUUUGUGGCGCCAGGGCAAUGGUAACCGGGUUUCUGUUUUUCACUUUUGUUCAGAAAAUAGUUAUACGGCAUACAUGGAGAGCGUGAAAGCUGCGCAUGUGAAAAUUGUUUGUGUACUCCUCUGCACAGAAGGAUAUGUACUGCUCUCAUGAGCUCAUGAGAAACUAAAGGCUUCGUUGAUUUUUAGGAGGAUAAUUGCCCCAAGAAUUGUCAGACUGACAUGGUAGCGAGGCAGGAUUUGAAUAACGAUUGUGACAUUGUAAGCGGCAUCCAUGAAUGACGGCACUCGUGUCGUUCGUUUAGAAGAUCGUUUCAUUCUCAAGUUUGUUCGCUCUGAGGUCCAUUGAACUGAAGUGCCUGAGACUUAUGAAAAAAUUCCGAGAGGUGCUCAAGCCCUGUGUGUCUCUUCAAUACUAACAUGAAAAAACAUGAGUGUCACGGUCUCAAUUCUCAACGGAGAAAACUGUACAGUCCUGUUCAACAGAAUGUACAAAAAGUAAUGCGACAAAUGUCUGUUUGGCAUUGCAGAAUUCCUCUUGUUUUUCAUCUGCGUGAUAAUAUUUGUGAUAGGGUAUUUAUUUUUAUUUAUUUAUUUAUUUUUAAUUUAAUGUUGGGCUACUGUAGCUGAAUUAGCUGCCCUCUGUUUUGCAUGGAAUAGCCAAAAUCAUGUUCGUGCAUGCAGGGGCAUGCUGCCAAGACGAUUUGUCCAUCGGGACGUUAGCAGUGCGUUAAAUAAUCCGAUACUCCGCACAGCUGCCGUAUUCUAUGUUCGAGGUGGAUAAGAGUGAUAUUAUUGACGAAACCAUCAUGGAAACGGGGCUUAAAACGUGCAAUGAUACGAAGGGUGGGGAACUGGCACAUGAAAGGGCUAAACGGUUGUAAAAUAGACGAUUAAGAUUUGCAAUAGAGUUCUUACUCGACCACGAUUGAGGUUCCUGGACGAGCCUACCUGUGGCCUUGACAGGUCGGUCUAAAUUCCGAAGAAGGGUUACACUGACAUCCUUUACUUUAAAGAGUUUACUGGUUUCAAUCCCACAUAUGCUAGAUGACGUGCGCAGAACACCUGUGUACUUACCAACGUUACCUGAGUAAUGAUCUGCGUCUACAACUGUACGAUGUGCUGCCGCCUUUUCAGUCACGUCAAAACUCGAGAAAUUUGGCUCGGCGUCUAAAGCUACGGAGCUGCGCACUCUAUCUACAUCUUUUAUGGCCACUCGACAUAUGAGCCAUGACAUUCCGCUGUCCUUUGCUGCGAAAUUCCUGGGAACGUUUCCUUCGGCAUGUCAAUCCAUAAUUUGAUGAUCAAGAGCUUGACACUUCUCUGAUCAAGGAUAUGGAAAGAGGCGGGGGCCAUGGCGAAUCUAUCAACCAAUAUGGUGGUGAAAUUCUCAACGACGAGUAUGAAUAUUCACAUGAUGCGUUCACUGCGGAUUAGAAGAUCCAAUUCAUAUCGACUAGAGUAAGUCCUAAUAUACUAUCAAUAGUCCAAGCAUCGCGACUGUGGCUGAGAUCUUUCCAAUUUCUCAGUUGGAUGUAAUAAUCAGAUUCAUUAGAAGUUUUUCCCUGACACACAAAUGGCGACAGAACGGGUUGCCUAUAACGGUGUCUGAUAAGGAAGGAAGUUCAAACAGGUUCUUCCGCUUCUGCCAUAUGUUCCUAACAAUUUGUGUACGUUCAAUUAGCAUGGUAGUCAAGCAGGAUUUUCCACCCAAAUACAUGCACUAACCCGCAGAUCUUUUCGAUAACAUGCGUCGAGACUAGGGCUGUAACUGGCUGCAAAUAUAUUGUCUACAUCACGCUCAGGGUCAGCAUCGAAAGUGUCCAUCGCCAUGUUGACACUUCAUCGAACUCCAUCGGAGCGCAUUGUAAAACCACAAACGCAUGGAAUGUGUGUGCGCAUAUUAGAAGCACAAGAGGGGAUUGAUCUUCAACCAAAAGUAAUACUGAUGUGACAAUGUCGUAGGGGGUCGUAAGGUGUGUUAUAAAUCUAAAUAUUGAGAUUCAGUGGAUCAUAGUGUUUGAUAAGUAUUCGGGGAAUGCUCUCAUUUGAAAUUUACUAUGUCGACUUUGUCGGAAUCUCAUAGAAGCUUUGAGGAAGCGAUUUUUCUCUAGUACGAACUAGCUGCAGUAAUCCCCAGUUAGGACAACUUUGUUUUUUUACCUAACGCUAUAUACAUAUUUGAGUUUACUCUCCGCAGUAAUCCCAAUAAUUCCACAGUAGGAUAACUUUGUUUUUUUACCGAAUUCUAACUGUUGCGUGGAUUGGAUAUUAAUGAUCAAUGAUAAAAUGGAGGACUGGAUGUUACCAGAUAUCCAACAUGUUGGGUAUCACUAACUCCCCUCAACAUGGGCUCCUGUUGUCAACUCCAGAUGGCGUGUCAUUGUGCUUCCCCACUCAAUGCACUUGUGCAGUUGCAAGUUGCAAUUGACGAGCUGACGCUAUGUGAUUGGUGAUGGCGAUCCUCCUUUGCUUGUGCAGAGCGGCGUUUGGUUCUAUUUUGUCGUCGUUGGUGUUAGUUUUGUUGGAGGAGGAUUGUGAGAGUGACAAUAUAGGUUCCACAGCGGACAUAGCAACUUCUCGUAGUAUUUGAUUGAAAGGAGCUUCAGGGUUAGAGUUUUGUUCAGAGGUGCCACCAGCCAAGUUUUAGGCGGUUCAUCGUGGAUACUCCACGGGAGUGUUUGCCAUCGUGGCCAGAGUGUAGAACUCAAGUUCAAAGUUAUAAGGGUGUAAAAUAUAAGAGCUUUAGAGUACAAGAAAAGGCAAAGGAAUUUCUACAACAUGAAUGUUAAGUCUAAUUUUGGAGUCACAAUUUUUAAAAUUUUGUGUAACUAAGAUGGGACUCUCUUCAGUCCAAGAGAUUCCCUAUUGCUAAUAAAAUCCACUCGU